GAUCAUGGCUCAGGACGAACGCUGGCGGCGCGCCUAACACAUGCAAGUCGAACGAGAGAUGAAGAGCUUGCUCUUCAAAUCGAGUGGCGAACGGGUGAGUAACGCGUGAGGAACCUGCCUCAAAGAGGGGGACAACAGUUGGGAACGACUGCUAAUACCGCAUAAGCCCACGGCUCGGCAUCGAGCAGAGGGAAAAGGGCAAUCCGCUUUGAGAUGGCCUCGCGUCCGAUUAG
rnacentral:rRNA from 1 species